rnacentral:rRNA from 1 species
UAAGCAUAUCAAUAAGCGGAGGAAAAGAAACCAACAGGGAUUGCCCCAGUAACGGCGAGUGAAGCGGCAAAAGCUCAAAUUUGAAAUCUGGCUCCUUAGGGGGUCCGAGUUGUAAUUUGUAGAGGAUGCUUCGGGUGCGGCCACGGCCUAAGUUCCUUGGAACAGGACGUCACAGAGGGUGAGAAUCCCGUCUUUGGCAGUUGGCCCGCGCCCGUGUGAAGCUCCUUCGACGAGUCGAGUUGUUUGGGAAUGCAGCUCUAAGCGGGUGGUAAAUUUCAUCUAAAGCUAAAUAUUGGCCGGAGACCGAUAGCGCACAAGUAGAGUGAUCGAAAGGUUAAAAGCACCUUGAAAAGGGAGUUAAACAGCACGUGAAAUUGUUGAAAGGGAAGCGCUUGCGGCCAGACUCGGGCGCGGGGUUCAGCGGGUGCGCGUCACCCGUGUACUCCCCGCCGCCCGGGCCAGCAUCAGUUCUGACGGCCGGUCAAAGGCCCCCGGAAUGUAUCGUCUCUCGGGACGUCUUAUAGCCGGGGGUGCAAUGCGGCCUGUCGGGACUGAGGAACGCGCUUCGGCUCGGAUGCUGGCGUAAUGGCCGUAAGCGGCCCGUCUUGAAACACGGACCAAGGAGUCUAACAUCCACGCGAGUGUUCGGGUGUCAAACCCGUGCGCGCAGUGAAAGCGAACGGAGGUGGGAGCCUUAGGGCGCACCAUCGACCGAUCCUGAAGUCUUCGGAUGGAUUUGAGUAGGAGCGUGGCCGUUGGGACCCGAAAGAUGGUGAACUAUGCCUGAAUAGGGUGAAGCCAGAGGAAACUCUGGUGGAGGCUCGCAGCGGUUCUGACGUGCAAAUCGAUCGUCAAAUUUGGGCAUAGGGGCGAAAGACUAAUCGAACCAUCUAGUAGCUGGUUCCUGCCGAAGUUUCCCUCAGGAUAGCAGUAACGAAAUUCCAGUUUUAUGAGGUAAAGCGAAUGAUUAGAGGCCUUGGGGUUGAAACAACCUUAACCUAUUCUCAAACUUUAAAUAUGUAAGAAGCCCUUGUUUCUUAAGUGAACGU